rnacentral:rRNA from 1 species
GUAGCGGCGAGCGAACGGGGAGCAGCCCAGAGUCUGAAUCAGCUUGUGUGUUAGUGGAACGGUCUGGAAAGUCCGACGGUACAGGGUGAUAGUCCCGUACACCAAAAUGCACAGGCUGUGAACUCGAAGAGUAGGGCGGGACACGUGGUAUCCUGUCUGAAUAUGGGGGGACCAUCCUCCAAGGCUAAAUACUCCUGACUGACCGAUAGUGAACCAGUACCGUGAGGGAAAGGCGAAAAGAACCCCGGCGAGGGGAGUGAAAAAGAACCUGAAACCGUGUACGUACAAGCAGUGGGAGCACCUUCGGGUGUGACUGCGUACCUUUUGUAUAAUGGGUCAGCGACUUAUAUUCUGUAGCAAGGUUAACCGUAUAGGGGAGCCGCAGGGAAACCGAGUCUUAACUGGGCGUUAAGUUGCAGGGUAUAGACCCGAAACCCGGUGAUCUAGCCAUGGGCAGGUUGAAGGUUGGGUAACACUAACUGGAGGACCGAACCGACUAAUGUUGAAAAAUUAGCGGAUGACUUGUGGCUGGGGGUGAAAGGCCAAUCAAACCGGGAGAUAGCUGGUUCUCCCCGAAAGCUAUUUAGGUAGCGCCUCGUGAACUCAUCUUCGGGGGUAGAGCACUGUUUCGGCUAGGGGGUCAUCCCGACUUACCAACCCGAUGCAAACUACGAAUACCGAAGAAUGUUAUCACGGGAGACACACGGCGGGUGCUAACGUCCGUCGUGAAGAGGGAAACAACCCAGACCGCCAGCUAAGGUCCCAAAGUCAUGGUUAAGUGGGAAACGAUGUGGGAAGGCACAGACAGCCAGGAUGUUGGCUUAGAAGCAGCCAUCAUUUAAAGAAAGCGUAAUAGCUCACUGGUCGAGUCGGCCUGCGCGGAAGAUGUAACGGGGCUAAACCAUGCACCGAAGCUGCGGCAGCGACACUAUGUGUUGUUGGGUAGGGGAGCGUUCUGUAAGCCUGCGAAGGUGUGCUGUGAGGC